rnacentral:lncRNA from 1 species
CCUUUGUCUUCCUUCCUUCCUUCUUUGCUUCCUUCCUUCCUUCCUUCCUUCCUUCCUUCCUUCCUUCCCGCCUUCCUUCUUUUUUGCCUGUUUGACCAAUAUUGUUCAGACUGGCCUUGAACUUGUGAUCUUCCUACCUCAGUUUCCCAAGUAGCUGAGAUUAAGGAUAUAUAUCACUGUGCCUGGCUUAUCAUUCUCAAUGUGACUUUUCUGGCUUUGAACUUAAGGUAUUGAAAUUUCCCAGUUGAUUUCUGAGGUUCUCAUAAAUGUUUUUCCCACUCAUAUGUGUUGUAUUUUAGUCAACCUUGCUAUGAGGGUAAUCAGAUUUGGUGUUUCUUAUUCUGCCAUCUUGUAAAUGUCACUCUCUCAUAUCUCUUAAAUAAUGAGAAAUGAAAGCGUGCUUCACACUCAUGUACAAAACACAGAAUUUUCUUCUCCAUGUACUUCUUGCUACCUUCUUGGUAUCUUUUUUACACAGUUUUCAUAACAAAGUGCCUUACUCGACAUUGUUCAUCCAGGGGCUCUGGUUUGCUAAGAGCGAUGUAGCAUUACAUUUUACUCAAGGCCUUGCACUGGAGUUUCAGCGUUGAAGGCUGACAUAUACAACUGUCCUAGUCAACUUUAACCAUCAACUUGACACAGCCUAGAAUUACCUGAGAAGGAAGCCUCAAUGGAGGGAUUACAGAGACCAGAUGCGCUUGUUGCAGCAUGUCUGUGUGUGAGGGGGUUGCUUUGAUUGUCAACUGAUGUAGAAGAGCCUUGUCUACUAUGGAUGGCACCAUUCCCUAGGGAAGCUGAACCUAUGAAAUCUCAAAAAUAUUCUUCCCUGAACAAGACCUGCAUACCAACAUCACCAGUUGACAUGCCAGUAUGGAUGGGGAAAUUUCACAAGGCUUUUUCCUCAAAUGAAGAGCCAAAUGCAACUAAUGGCUGCUGAGAGAGAAUGAAUCAGUCUCCUUAGGAAAAAGUCCUCCCUGAUAGUUUAACCAAUCCCAAGUGGUCAGUCCUUAACAAAUAAACAUAUGAGCAAUACUAAAUGGACUCAGGCUGUAUUUAUAUAUACACAUGUACACAUACA